rnacentral:tRNA from 1 species
GUGGGCGUGGCUUAAAGGAUAAAGCGUUCGCUUGUGAAGCGAAAGAUUGGGGGUUCGAGUCCCCUCGCCCACC